rnacentral:ncRNA from 1 species
UGCUUCGGCGGCGUCGGCGCUCCUUUUCAAGGAACACAAGAGAGAAAGAACUCCUACCAAGCCCCACCCCUCCCGCCUGCCGGUGUGCCCCAUCACUCUCCCGAGUGAACAUCGCCAACUCGGCUGGAUUCGUGCCCGGUUGCCUGGCCUACGCUCAGCGCAGCACCACCACCGACAUCACAGACAACCGCAGACAACCUCAGACAUGCGACGGCCCCCGCCGGGACUGCAAUCCCAAGGCGAGGGCCUGACCACCAAGGAAGAAGCAAGCUUCCCG